AGUGGGGAAUUUUGGACAAUGGGCGCAAGCCUGAUCCAGCCAUGCCGCGUGCGGGAAGAAGGCCUUCGGGUUGUAAACCGCUUUUGUCAGGGAAGAAAAGUUCCGGGUUAAUACCCUGGGAUGCUGACGGUACCUGAAGAAUAAGCACCGGCUAACUACGUGCCAGCAGCCGCGGUAAUACGUAGGGUGCGAGCGUUAAUCGGAAUUACUGGGCGUAAAGCGUGCGCAGGCGGUUGUGCAAGACAGAUGUGAAAUCCCCGGGCUCAACCUGGGAACUGCAUUUGUGACUGCACGACUGGAGUGUGGCAGAGGGGGAUGGAAUUCCGCGUGUAGCAGUGAAAUGCGUAGAUAUGCGGAGGAACACCGAUGGCGAAGGCAAUCCCCUGGGCCUGCACUGACGCUCAUGCACGAAAGCGUGGGGAGCAAACAGGAUUAGAUACCCUGGUAGUCCACGCCCUAAACGAUGUCAACUGGUUGUUGGGAGGGUUUCUUCUCAGUAACGUAGCUAACGCGUGAAGUUGACCGCCUGGGGAGUACGGCUCUUUCUAAGGUUGAAACUCAAAGGAAUUGACCGGGGACCCGCACAAGCGGUGGAUGAUGUGGUUAAUUCGACGCAACGCGAAAAACCUUACCUACCCUUGACAUGCCUGGAAUCCUGCAGAGAUGCGGGAGUGCUCGAAAGAGAGCCAGGACACAGGUGCUGCAUGGCCGUCGUCAGCUCGUGUCGUGAGAUGUUGGGUUAAGUCCCGCAACGAGCGCAACCCUUGCCAUUAGUUGCUACGAAAGGGCACUCUAAUGGGACUGCCGGUGACAAACCGGAGGAAGGUGGGGAUGACGUCAGGUCAUCAUGGCCCUUAUGGGUAGGGCUACACACGUCAUACAAUGGCCGGUACAGAGGGCUGCCAACCCGCGAGGGGGAGCCAAUCCCAGAAAACCGGUCGUAGUCCGGAUCGCAGUCUGCAACUCGACUGCGUGAAGUCGGAAUCGCUAGUAAUCGCGGAUCAGCGUGUCGCGGUGAAUACGUUCCCGGGUCUUGUACACACCGCCCGUCACACCAUGGGAGCGGGUUCUGCCAGAAGUAGGUAGCCUAACCGCAAGGAGGGCGCUUACCACGGCAGGGUUCGUGACUGGGGUG
rnacentral:rRNA from 1 species